GCGCUCGGGCGGUGGGCGGGCGCGCGCCGCCGAGGCCGCCGCCCGCCGGCACCUGCUUUCCCCUGAGGCGGGUCGCGCGGGGCUCUUCCCCUCCCCUCCCCUCGCCCCCCCCGCGCCCCGCUCCGCUCCCCUCCUCGCGCCGCGGCGCGAGGAGGAACUUUGAACGCGGGGGACCGUUAAGCGCGAGCUGGGACCGUUAAGCGCGAGCUGGUCCCGCCGCUCCCCUCAGCCGCCGGCCGCUCCCGCCCCGACUCCUCCUCCCCCCCCAACAUCCCGCCCCGCUCUGGUGGGAGGCGGUGGGGGUGAGCGCCCCUCCUCCGGGCAGGAUGGUGGACCUGGACAGCGAGGUGCCCCCGCUCCCCCCCCGGUACCGCUUUCGGGACUUGCUGCUGGGCGACCAAGGCUGGCAGAGCGACGACAGGGUGCAAGUUGAAUUCUAUAUGAAUGAAAAUACAUUUAAAGAGAGACUAAAGCUCUUCUUCAUCAAAAACCAAAGAUCAAGUCUGAGAAUACGAUUAUUCAAUUUUUCUCUCAAGCUACUAAGCUGUUUCUUAUACAUAAUUCGUGUGCUUCUGGAUGAUCCUACACAAGGACUUGCAUGUAAGGAAUUAAACUGGAGAUGUUCCAAUCAAAACUACACACCUGGAGCGAUUGAUUGGUCUCCUAUUAUUUGGGUGAAUCGAAGCUUGCCUUUAUGGGGAUUACAGGUUUCUGUGGCUUUAAUAAGUCUCUUUGAAACUCUGCUGCUGAGUUAUCUAAGCUACAAGGGAAAUAUCUGGGAACAAAUUCUGAGAAUACCUUUUCUCCUGGAAAUAAUUAAUGCUGUCCCUUUCAUCAUCACGAUUUUCUGGCCAGUCCUAAGAAACCUGUUUAUUCCUGUAUUUUUAAAUUGUUGGCUGGCAAAGCAUGCUUUAGAGAAUAUGAUUAAUGAUCUUCACAGAGCUAUCCAACGUACACAGUCUGCAAUGUUUAACCAAGUCCUCAUUUUAAUAUCUACCUUACUCUGUCUUAUCUUCACUUGUAUUUGUGGAAUUCAGCAUCUGGAACGAGCAGGAAACAGGUUGACUCUCUUUGACUCCCUUUAUUUCUGCAUAGUGACAUUUUCCACUGUGGGCUUUGGGGAUGUUACACCCAAGAUAUGGCCUUCAAAGCUGCUUGUUGUCAUUAUGAUCUGUGUUGCUCUUGUGGUGUUGCCCAUACAGUUUGAACAGCUGGCAUAUUUGUGGAUGGAGAGACAGAAGUCCGGUGGUAACUACAGUCGACACAGAGCUCAGACGGAAAAACAUGUUGUGCUCUGUGUUAGCUCUCUGAAGAUUGACUUACUUAUGGAUUUCUUAAAUGAAUUCUAUGCUCACCCCAGACUGCAGGACUAUUAUGUCGUUAUUUUGUGUCCUACUGAGAUGGAUGCUCAGGUCCGAAGGGUAUUACAAAUUCCAAUGUGGUCCCAAAGAGUUAUCUAUCUGCAAGGCUCAGCACUAAAAGAUCAAGACCUGUUGAGAGCUAAAAUGGAUGAUGCAGAAGCGUGUUUCAUUCUGAGUAGCCGCUGUGAGGUGGACCGGACAGCAGCUGAUCAUCAAACCAUUUUAAGAGCAUGGGCAGUUAAAGACUUUGCUCCAAAUUGUCCUUUGUAUGUCCAAAUACUGAAACCUGAGAAUAAAUUCCACAUCAAGUUUGCAGAUCAUGUUGUGUGUGAAGAGGAAUUCAAAUAUGCUAUGCUAGCUCUAAAUUGUAUAUGCCCAGCUACCUCUACGUUAAUCACACUUCUGGUUCAUACGUCUAGGGGACACACAGCUCCAUGGGAAGCUUUUAGACAACUAACUGGAACCAAGCAGACUUUAAACAGGGAGAGUCAGCAAUCAUCAGAACAAUGGCAGAAAAUGUAUGGCAGGUGCUCUGGUAAUGAAGUGUAUCAUAUUAACCUGGAAGAAAGUACUUUUUUUGCUGAGUAUGAGGGGAAAAGCUUCACAUAUGCUUCUUUCCAUGCCCAUAAAAAGUUUGGAGUCUGUCUGAUUGGUGUUAGAAAGGAAGAUAAUAAAAACAUUUUGCUGAAUCCAGGUCCUCGAUAUAUCAUGAGUUCUACAGAUAUAUGCUUCUACAUAAAUGUCACCAAAGAAGAGAAUUCUGCUUUUAAGAAGCAAGAAAAACAUAGAAAAAAACAUGAAUCAAAAUUAUCUUAUCAUGGAACUUCUAGGUUACCUGUACACAGUAUAAUAGCCAGCAUGGGGACAGUGGCUAUUGAUUUGCAAGACACAGGAUGCCGAACCUCCAGUGGACCUACGCUAGCUCUUCCUUCUGAGGGAGGUAGAGAAGGCAGACGGCCCAGUAUAGCACCUGUUUUGGAGGUUGCAGACUCAUCCUCACUUCAGACAUGUGACCUGCUAAGUGACCAGUCAGAAGAUGAAACUACCCCAUCAGAUGAAGAAGUCUCUUCAGGCUUAGAGUAUGCCAAAGGCUAUCCUCCUUACUCUCCGUAUAUUGGAAGCUCUCCCACAUUUUGCCAUCUUCUGCAUGAAAAAGUACCCUUCUGUUGUCUAAGACUAGAUAAGGGAUGCCAGCAUAACUACUAUGAAGAUGCCAAAGCCUAUGGAUUCAAAAAUAAAUUGAUUAUAGUUGCAGCAGAAACUGCAGGAAAUGGUUUAUAUAACUUUAUUGUUCCACUCAGAGCUUAUUACCGACCAAAGAAGGAACUAAAUCCCAUUGUAUUACUCCUGGAUAACCCGCCAGAUAUGCAUUUUCUGGAUGCAAUCUGUUGGUUUCCAAUGGUUUACUACAUGGUGGGCUCUAUCGACAACCUAGAUGACUUAUUAAGAUGUGGGGUCACCUUUGCAGCUAAUAUGGUGGUGGUGGACAAAGAAAGUACAAUGAGUGCUGAGGAAGACUACAUGGCAGAUGCUAAGACUAUUGUAAAUGUUCAAACCCUCUUUAGGUUGUUCUCAAGCCUAAGCAUUAUCACAGAACUAACUCACCCAGCCAAUAUGAGAUUCAUGCAGUUCAGAGCCAAAGACUGCUAUUCUCUUGCACUAUCCAAAUUAGAAAAGAAAGAACGUGAGAAGGGAUCUAAUCUGGCAUUUAUGUUUCGACUGCCCUUCGCUGCUGGCAGAGUUUUCAGCAUCAGUAUGUUGGACACGCUGCUUUAUCAGUCAUUUGUGAAAGAUUAUAUGAUUUCUAUCACAAGACUACUGCUGGGACUUGAUACCACACCAGGAUCUGGGUUUCUUUGUUCAAUGAAGAUCACAGAAGAGGAUCUAUGGAUUAGGACAUAUGCCAGACUGUAUCAGAAACUUUGUUCUUCUACAGGAGACAUUCCAAUUGGAGUCUAUAGGACAGAAUCCCAAAAGCUUACAACAUCUGAGUCACGAGAAAUGGCUUCACAAUCUCAAAUCUCUAUCAGCGUGGAAGAAUGGGAAGACACUAAAGACACCAAAGAACAGAUUAGUUAUCGUAAUAACCAUCGUAACUCAACAUCUAGUGAUCAGUCUGACCACCCCUUGUUACGACGAAAAAGCAUGCAGUGGGCCCGGCGACUGAGCAGAAGAGUACCAAGACACUCUGGUAAAACAGCUGAGAAGAUAAACCAGCAGCGAAUGAACCUUUACAGGAGAUCAGAAAGACAGGAGCUUGCUGAACUAGUGAAAAACAGAAUGAAGCAUCUGGGCCUCUCUCCAGCAGGAUAUGAUGAAAUGAAUGAUCAUGAGAAUACUCUUUCUUACAUCCUGAUCAAUCCUUCUCCAGAUACAAGAUUAGAGCUGAAUGAUAUAGUCCCUGACAGAAGGAAGAACAUCAACAAAGUAACAGCAGCAGGUGGUGUUUCCAAAUCCUGGAGAUCAGGCGAUUCUCUUGAGUAUCCACCAUAAAGGCAAUGUGCCACAGACUCAGAAGCCCAUGCUUUGAGGAGCCAGAAACAGUCUGUUACUAGAUACUUGAUCCGACCUGAUCCAUUGGCUUAUGUUCCAAAUACUGCAGCCAGCCGAAAAGACAGCUUCUGUAACACUGUGGGACAGGACACCAGGGAGGAGACACAACUUUGAUAUGUAACUCAUCAUAAAAUGAAGAGAUAAUUUUAUACACAUGCUGUUUCCACCAAUACAUUUUAUUCAGAUUUUGGAAACAAAAUAACAGUGUGUAAGUGACCAAAUUUAGAAAUGUGUGGUCUAGAAACUCUGAUUUAAAGGAUUGUCAGGCUUGUGGCCUAUUCAAUAUGGUAGUUGAACUUCGUCAGCUUAACAGAAUUAUGACACCUAUUACUAUUUAACCAAUAUGAACAAAUUAUUUGAAAAGUGACAGAUUCCAUCAUGUGUUUUGCUUAGAUGCUUCUAAGUAUAUUUAUCAAGGUGACAGCAUAUCAGUGACUAAGCUUCUGACAUACGUCAGUAAAGAUUAUCUGAUGUCCAUCGACCAUGCAUAAUUUGUAGCAGAAAAUGUGUUAAUACCUAAAGCUGCCAACGAGGCUUUGCCUGUCAAGAAUCCAGACUUUGAAAUCAAGUUUUCAGCCUCAGCCUGUCACCCACUUAUAUCAGAACAGGCUAGCUUCAGUCCCAUUUUAACCUCCAGGACUUCAGUAUUAGUUCUCUGGGUUUACACAGAUCAGGUUGAAUAACACAGCCUAGUCAUACCCUAGAGGUUAAGAUCUGAGGCAUACCCACUGAAACAUUAGCUCAGAGGAGCCCACCUAGAGGAAAGUCCCUGUCAUCUCACACGGGCAGCUCCCACAUUUGUAACAACUGGGAAGGCACUCUCCGUGUGAAGAGGCAAACAAUGGUAACCGUGGUAACUCACAUGAAAUAGAAUCCCUUCAACCUUAGUGAGUUUAUCGAUAGAAACCCAAACAGAUUAUAAUACAAAAGUGAGAGCAUGCCUCUAAGGAAUGGUUCAUGCUGCAAGUCCUUCCCAUUUUCAUGAAUAUGCCAGAACUGCAACUGUCCAAAGUAUGUACAUGCCCACUUAUUCGGAUUACCCAGCUGUGACACCUAAUUUCAUAUGAAAUAUUUAUCACACUGAAAAUGAAAGAAAUUUAUAACCCAUUCCAUAAAACGAAUGCAAUACCAUGUUAUGUGAAAAGGCACCAUGGAUUUGAAGACUCCGUAUCUUGGCAUUAAGGACACAAGAAAGAUCUGCUACUGUAUGAAACAUAUGGAGCUGCUACAGAAUCUCCAGUCUACACAUACAAGAAUGACACAAUUGGUCAAGCUUUCUACAGAAUUAAGACUGUACGUGGUUGUCCAAAAUCACAUUCUUUGCUGUCUGUCACAAAGGGAAGAAGAGCAUGCUUAAGGUAAAAACCCUACUGUUAGGAUUACAGAACUGGUACAAGAAAUUUGGCAGGUACAACAGAAAAAUUGAUUAUUUGAAUUACCUUGAUGUCCUACAUGUACAAAAAUACAGUAAAAAAUGUUUAUAACCUCUUUUAUAUUAUUUGGUAGAACAACUGCAAUUUGUUUCUGAAAAAUAAAAUACCAAGUUGCCCAGUGAACAACUCCUGGAUAUGUGUACGCUUAUCAGCAUUGUAAGGAUGUUGAAAUCAAGUCACAUUCAUAUGAGAAGUGACAGCAAAUCUGCUAUUAUUCCCUCCCUUCCUCUUAAUUCUUCAAAAACUUAACUAAUCUGUCCCAUAUUAAGUCAGAAAUCCUAAAGCCACUACUAUAAAAAUAAAACCAAACACAGAGGUCUCAGAGAGGGCUGAAGCCAUGAGAUCAAGAAUACCAGUUUUAAAAGAAUAACUAGGAAAGUAGGGUUUCUCAGCUUUUUUUUUAUAUCGAUACAUUAAAGUAGCAUCAUGGUUCAAAAGGGUUUCAGUGAUUCUGCAUGAAGUGCAUCAUUUUUCAGUGUCUUUCCACACACACUAGUCAUUUAUCAAAUUAUUCACAGGUAAAGACAAAGUAUUUCAAACGUUGCCUCUGGGCACUGGUUGAAAAACUAACAACUGAAGCAGUUGCACAAACUGAAGUCUACAGUUUUUUAAAAAACAGUACAUGGUACAGGAUCUUGUCCAAUACCUGUCAUAGGAGUUCGCCAAGAAAAGACUGCAUGUUGAGUGUGAAUAACUUUCUAUUUUUAAUGCCUUCAGUGAUAAGACUGCAUUCCAGUUGAAUGUUUUCAAAAUGAUUCAAAUAUCUUAAAAAAGAUUACUGCAAAAUAUUAGGAGGAUCAUUUGUUCCAUACUGAAGAUGUUUCUAACAGAGUCUCAAGCAGGCAGACAGGAUUCCAAAACAUGCCUACCCUGCAGCUGGCAGGAAAGUUAGGGACUCCGCUUUCAGUGUGAUUCACACACUUCACAGGCCUUCUCUGUGCACUGCCUAUCAUUCCCACCACAGGUUUAAAGGCUUUCUGCCAUAAGGAUCUAUAGCUAGGACUUGAUGCCCUGCAUUUACCAGCCUAUAAAGCAGUAGAAACAAGCAGCCAGUUCCCACCCAACUCAGCAGAAUUGCUAGAGUUGAAUAAUAGCAUCUAACGUGACCUAGUAUUUCUCCAGGCUUAAUGAAUUUCUAAUUGUUCAUUAGCCCCAGAAGAUGUGCUAAAGCAAACAAAAAGACAGCUGAAGACACUUGCAGUCUCUAAAAUGAAAGUCAAUCUUUCUGAACAAAAUACGUGGUUCUACAAAAUCUGCUGGAAGACAAGGUACUAAAAACUAACAACAGCUUUUUAUGAAGCAGAAGUUCUAAUAACCCAUGAAAAAUAUAUCAUAAAGUUCUGUUACUCAAAAUAUACCGCCUUUCAUAUUGAAAGCAGAACAGCUUUGCUUCCUCUGGAGUAUCUUCACAGACAGACCCCAUUCUAGUGGGAUUUAGACUUUUCAAGAACCAUAUGAAGAAUCUUUACAUCAACACUGGACGAGACUGAACACACAUCUUCUCCUGACUCAUUUCUAUCAAUAACAUAAAGAUGCCCAUCUUCCCCAGCACUACCUUAACACAUACCAAGCAACUUGGUACCAAAAUCACAAUCCCAGUGAAGAAAGUGAUAGCAGAUAAUAAUUACUUCAUUUUCACAAGAGACUUCUCCAGCAAUGCGAGAUCUACCUAUGAAAACUUGUUACCAAGUCUGCAAUAAAAAGUCAAAAAG